rnacentral:rRNA from 1 species
UACGUAGGGGGCAAGCGUUGUCCGGAAUCAUUGGGCGUAAAGAGCGUGUAGGCGGUCCGGUUAGUCGGCUGUGAAAGUCCAGGGCUCAACCCUGGGAUGCCGGUCGAUACUGCCGGACUAGAGUCCGGAGGAGGCAAGUGGAAUUCCCGGUGUAGCGGUGAAAUGCGCAGAUAUCGGGAGGAACACCAAUGGCGAAGGCAGCUUGCUGGGACGGUACUGACGCUGAGACGCGAAAGCGUGGGGAGCGAACAGGAUUAGAAA